GACGAACGCUGGCGGCGUGCUUAACACAUGCAAGUCGAACGGUAAGGCCUUCGGGUACACGAGUGGCGAACGGGUGAGUAACACGUGGGUGAUCUGCCCUGCACUUUGGGAUAAGCCUGGGAAACUGGGUCUAAUACCGAAUAGGACUACGGCCUGCAUGGGUUGUGGUGGAAAGCUUUUGCGGUGUGGGAUGGGCCCGCGGCCUAUCAGCUUGUUGGUGAGGUCACGGCUCACCAAGGCGACGACGGGUAGCCGGCCUGAGAGGGUGACCGGCCACACUGGGACUGAGAUACGGCCCAGACUCCUACGGGAGGCAGCAGUGGGGAAUAUUGCACAAUGGGCGCAAGCCUGAUUCAGCGACGCCGCGUGAGGGAUGACGGCCUUCGGGUUGUAAACCUCUUUCAGUAGGGACGAAGCGCAAGUGUCGGUACCUAUAGAAGAAGGACCGGCCAACUACGUGCCAGCAGCCGCCGUAA
rnacentral:rRNA from 1 species